rnacentral:rRNA from 1 species
AGCAGUUUGAUCAUGGCUCAGGAUGAACGCUGGCGGCGUGCUUAACACAUGCAAGUCGAACGGUGAACUUGGGAGCUUGCUCCUGGGGAAUCAGUGGCGAACGGGUGAGUAACACGUGAGUAACCUGCCCUGGACUUUGGGAUAACCCUCGGAAACGGGGGCUAAUACCGGAUACGACUGCUGGCCGCAUGGUUGGUGGUGGAAAGUUUUUCGGUCUGGGAUGGGCUCGCGGCCUAUCAGCUUGUUGGUGGGGUGAUGGCCUACCAAGGCGACGACGGGUAGCCGGCCUGAGAGGGCGACCGGCCACACUGGGACUGAGACACGGCCCAGACUCCUACGGGAGGCAGCAGUGGGGAAUAUUGGACAAUGGGCGCAAGCCUGAUCCAGCAAUGCCGCGUGAGUGAGGAAGGCCUUAGGGUUGUAAAGCUCUUUUACCCGGGAUGAUAAUGACAGUACCGGGAGAAUAAGCCCCGGCUAACUCCGUGCCAGCAGCCGCGGUAGUCGGGCCCAAUCGCC